UACGAGGGGGGCAAGCGUUGUUCGGAAUUAUUGGGCGUAAAGGGUGCGUAGGCGGUCUGACAAGUCUGGUGUGAAAUCUAUGGGCUCAACCCAUAGUCUGCAUCGGAAACUGUCGGGCUUGAGUAUGGGAGAGGUGAGUGGAAUUUCCGGUGUAGCGGUGAAAUGCGUAGAUAUUCGCAAGAACACCGGUGGCGAAGGCGGCCAACUGGACCAUUACUGACGCUGAGGCGCGAAAGCGUGGGGAGCAAACAGG
rnacentral:rRNA from 1 species